rnacentral:rRNA from 1 species
UUGGAUACUGGUAUGAAUGAUUGUACAUUUAAAUUUUUUCUUUAAAAUAAUAAUAAUUUAGAGUUAAAGUUAAAAUACUUUAAUUUAUUAAAAAGACGAUAAGACCCUAAAAGCUUUAUUUUUAUUUUAAAAUAAUAUAUUUUUUACUGGGGUAGUUUUUUAUUUAUUAUAUAAAAAUAAAUUUUUAUUUUAUAAUUCCUUAAAAUUAGGAUUUAAUUAAGUUACUUUAGGGAUAACAGCAUAAUAUUAUUGGAAAGAACUUAUUUAUAAUAAUGAUUAUGACCUCGAUGUUGAAUUAAUAAAUCUAUUUAAAGCAGUUUUUAAACAAGAGGGUUUGUUCAACCUUUAAU